AAUAGAUACCAGGUAGUCCAUGCCGUAAACGUUGGGCACUAGGUGUGGGGGACAUUCCACGUUUUCCGCGCCGUAGCUAACGCAUUAAGUGCCCCGCCUGGGGAGUACGGCCGCAAGGCUAAAACUCAAAGGAAUUGACGGGGGCCCGCACAAGCGGCGGAGCAUGCGGAUUAAUUCGAUGCAACGCGAAGAACCUUACCAAGGCUUGACAUGAACCGGAAAGAUCUGGAAACAGGUCCCCCACUUGUGGUCGGUUUACAGGUGGUGCAUGGUUGUCGUCAGCUCGUGUCGUGAGAUGUUGGGUUAAGUCCCGCAACGAGCGCAACCCUCGUUCUAUGUUGCCAGCACGUGAUGGUGGGGACUCAUAGGAGACUGCCGGGGUCAACUCGGAGGAAGGUGGGGACGACGUCAAAGUCAUCAUGCCCCUUAUGUCUUGGGCUUCACGCAUGCUACAAUGGCCGGUACAAAGGGUUGCGAUACUGUGAGGUGGAGCUAAUCCCAAAAAGCCGGUCUCAGUUCGGAUUGGGGUCUGCAACUCGACCC
rnacentral:rRNA from 1 species